UACGUAGGGUGCGAGCGUUGUCCGGAUUUACUGGGCGUAAAGCGCACGCAGGCGGUCUGUCAAGUCAGAUGUGAAAGCCCCGAGCUUAACUUGGGAAUUGCAUCUGAAACUGGUUGGCUAGAGUCUUGUAGAGGGGGGUAGAAUUCCAUGUGUAGCGGUGAAAUGCGUAGAGAUGUGGAGGAAUACCAGUGGCGAAGGCGGCCCCCUGGACAAAGACUGACGCUCAGGUGCGAAAGCGUGGGGAGCAAACAGG
rnacentral:rRNA from 1 species